rnacentral:tRNA from 1 species
GCCGAUUUAGUUUAGGGGCAAAACAAGUGCAUGGUAAGCACUAAAGACAAGUUCGACUCUUGUAAUCGGCACCA